UACGAGUUUGAUCCUGGCUCAGAACGAACGCUGGCGGCAGGCUUAACACAUGCAAGUCGAACGAGAUCUUCGGAUCUAGUGGCGCACGGGUGAGUAACGCGUGGGAAUCUACCUUGGAGUCUGGGAUAACAGUUGGAAACGACUGCUAAUACCGGAUACGCCCUUAGGGGAAGUUUACUGCUCCGAGAUGAGCCCGCGUCCAAUUAGGUAGUUGGUGAGGUAAAGGCUCACCAAGCCGACGAUUGGUAGCUGGUCUGAGAGGAUGACCAGCCACACUGGGACUGAGACACGGCCCAGACUCCUACGGGAGGCAGCAGUGGGGAAUAUUGGACAAUGGGGGCAACCCUGAUCCAGCCAUGCCGCGUGAGUGAUGAAGGCCUUAGGGUUGUAAAGCUCUUUCGCCGGUGACGAUGAUGACGGUAACCGGAGAAGAAGCCCCGGCUAACUUCGUG
rnacentral:rRNA from 1 species